rnacentral:rRNA from 1 species
CAGCCGCCGCGGUAAUACGUAGGUCCCUAGCGUUGUCCGGAUUUAUUGGGCGUAAAGGGAGCGCAGGCGGUUUAGUAAGUCUGAAGUUAAAGGCAUUGGCUCAACCAAUGUAUGCUUUGGAAACUGUUAGACUUGAGUGCAGAAGGGGAGAGUGGAAUUCCAUGUGUAGCGGUGAAAUGCGUAGAUAUAUGGAGGAACACCGGUGGCGAAAGCGGCUCUCUGGUCUGUCACUGACGCUGAGGCUCGAAAGCGUGGGUAGCGAACAGGAUUAGAUACCCCAGUAGUCCCUGUCUCUUAUACA